rnacentral:rRNA from 1 species
AUUGAACGCUGGCGGAAUGCUUUACACAUGCAAGUCGAACGGCAGCACGGGGGCAACCCUGGUGGCGAGUGGCGAACGGGUGAGUAAUACAUCGGAACGUGCCCGGUCGUGGGGGAUAACGUAGCGAAAGUUACGCUAAUACCGCAUACGAUCUGAGGAUGAAAGCGGGGGACCUUCGGGCCUCGCGCGAUCGGAGCGGCCGAUGUCAGAUUAGGUAGUUGGUGGGGUAAAGGCCUACCAAGCCGACGAUCUGUAGCUGGUCUGAGAGGACGACCAGCCACACUGGAACUGAGACACGGCCCAGACUCCUACGGGAGGCAGCAGUGGGGAAUUUUGGACAAUGGGCGCAAGCCUGAUCCAGCCAUGCCGCGUGCAGGACGAAGGCCUUCGGGUUGUAAACUGCUUUUGUAUGGAACGAAAAGGCUCUGGCUAAUACCUGGGGCUCAUGACGGUACCGUAAGAAUAAGCACCGGCUAACUACGUG